UUGGCAGAAACAAGGUUAGCACUUCACCCGCCAACCCGCCAGAUAACUACGAGUAAAAACUUAAAAUUCAAAGGACUUGACGGUGUUCCACACACAACCUAGAGGAGCCUGUCCUAUAAUCGAUAAUCCACGAUAAACCCGACCACUUUUUGCCAAACAACCUAUAUACCGCCGUCGAAAGCUCACCUUUUGAGAGAAAAAGAGUGAACAAAAGAGCCCCUCGCUAAUAUGACAGGUCAAGGUGUAGUUAAUAAAGUGGCCAGAGAUGGGCUACACUUCCUUAGCAAAGGAGAAACGGACAGCGUCAUGAAACCACGCUAGAAGGCGGAUUUAGUAGUAAAGUGGGAUUAGAAAGCUCGCUUGAACACAUUGCCCUGGGACG
rnacentral:rRNA from 1 species